UGCCUUUAUGUGUUGCUCUGUCAUUGUUGACGUAAUGACCAGGGUGUCAAGCGAGGCAUACAGAAACACAUGUGGCUGCCUGUGGAAAGAGUUUCAGUUAACUCCCUAAAGCAGCCAGCUGCACGAACACAC
rnacentral:snoRNA from 1 species